rnacentral:lncRNA from 1 species
CAAGGAUGUGCGUUCUGGAGCAGAGGUCACUUCUCUGGUGACACACACUGGACUGUGUGGAUGGACAGAGGUCUGGGAUUUGCUCCCAGGUGACACAGGAGGCUAGAGGAGCUGGGUGAUGGCGGCAUGGGAUUCAUUGUUUGUCAUGGCUCCUUCACGUGUAGAGUUCUCCAUCUACACACACAGAGUAGUCUGCGAAUCGGGAGUAUCUGGGUUCACGUCUGCAUGACUCUGUGGGUACUGGUUAGUUGUCUUCUUAGGUCUUUAGAUUGGGAUGUUUGUUGUAAGGACCUGGGAGUGGAAGUCAGGAGUGUGGCAGGGUAUUUGGCACAUAGAAAAUGCCUACACCCUGCCCUUUUCCUGAGUGGGCGAGUGGUGUGUACUGUUCAUGUGCCACACCCUGCUCUUUUCCUGGCCACAGUGUGACAUCCUUGCCCUUCUCUCCCUAAGGCAGGGAGCUUCCCUUUGCCGCAUCUUCCUUAGCAUAGGCUUUGGUUUUUGGAAGAUAAUAUGACUUAACAAGACUAGCUUUUUCUGCAUUACCAUUUUCUUCUCUGAGGCUGGAGGUAGGGUCUCCUGCCUGUGGGGCUAGCGUGCGGUCUUUCUUUUGUGUCCCUUAGGACAACAUCGGACAUGAACCGAGUGUUCUGUGGGCAUUGUGGGAACAAGACCCUGAAGAAAGUGUCUGUGACUAUCAAUGAUGACGGUACCUUGCACAUGCAUUUCUCCCGAAACCCGAAAGUUCUGAAUCCUCGAGGCCUCCGGUACUCACUACCCACUCCAAAAGGGGGCAAAUAUGCCGUCAACCCC